CACAUACGGCGAUAAGAAAUCCCAGUUCACCACGGCUAGAACGCUGACAGAUGGUUGAGCACAUGCUUAUGGGUUAGAUUCAUGGAUGAGCACAGAUCAGGACUUCUCUAACAGCAGCCACCCUGGCCCCCCACUAUUUGCAGAAUCACAUCUGAGCCCCAAAGCAGGUCCAGUGGGUGGCAUCAAAUAGGAAACCCGGAGAUAUUCGUUGGUUCCUGGGAAGGCUGAGGAAGCGCCCUUGUUAAGGGGUGUGUGCAGUGUUGAAAUAUUAGCUGCUGUGGCUGCCAAAGAAGUUCCUGAGCCACCCACAGCCUUUUCUCUUCAGUCCAACCA